rnacentral:rRNA from 1 species
UACGUAGGGUGCAAGCGUUGUCCGGAAUUAUUGGGCGUAAAGAGCUCGUAGGCGGUCUGUCGCGUCGGCUGUGAAAACCCGGGGCUCAACCCCGGGCCUGCAGUCGAUACGGGCAGACUAGAGUGCGGUAGGGGAGACUGGAAUUCCUGGUGUAGCGGUGAAAUGCGCAGAUAUCAGGAGGAACACCGGUGGCGAAGGCGGGUCUCUGGGCCGUAACUGACACUGAGGGGCGAAAGCUAGGGGAGCGAAAGGG